CCUACGGGAGGCAGCAGUGGGGAAUCUUGCGCAAUGGGCGAAAGCCUGACGCAGCCAUGCCGCGUGAAUGAUGAAGGUCUUAGGAUUGUAAAAUUCUUUCACCGGGGACGAUAAUGACGGUACCCGGAGAAGAAGCCCCGGCUAACUUCGUGCCAGCAGCCGCGGUAAUACGAAGGGGGCUAGCGUUGCUCGGAAUUACUGGGCGUAAAGGGAGCGUAGGCGGAUAGUUUAGUCAGAGGUGAAAGCCCAGGGCUCAACCUUGGAAUUGCCUUUGAUACUGGCUAUCUUGAGUACGGAAGAGGUAUGUGGAACUCCGAGUGUAGAGGUGAAAUUCGUAGAUAUUCGGAAGAACACCAGUGGCGAAGGCGACAUACUGGUCCGUUACUGACGCUGAGGCUCGAAAGCGUGGGGAGCAAACAGGAUUAGAUACCCUGGUAGUCCACGCUGUAAACGAUGAGUGCUAGUUGUCGGCAUGCAUGCAUGUCGGUGACGCAGCUAACGCAUUAAGCACUCCGCCUGGGGAGUACGGUCGCAAGAUUAAAACUCAAAGAGUAGUAGGACGUCGNGAGAGCGACGACGACGACGACGGAGGAGG
rnacentral:rRNA from 1 species